GUUGCAGCUCAGUGGUAGAGCUCUUUCCUAGCAUGUGUGAGGCACUGGGUUCGAUCCUCAGCAUUACA
rnacentral:tRNA from 1 species